rnacentral:rRNA from 1 species
CCUACGGGGGGCAGCAGUGGGGAAUAUUGCACAAUGGGGGAAACCCUGAUGCAGCGACGCCGCGUGAGUGAGGAAGUAUUUCGGUAUGUAAAGCUCUGUCAGCGGGGAAGAAAAUGACGGUGCCUAACCAAGAAUCCCCGGCUAACUACGUGCCAGCAGCCGCGGUACUACGUAGGGGGCAAACGUUAUCCGGAUUUACUGGGUGAAAAGGGAGCGUAGACGGCAGGGCAAGUCUGGAGUGAAAGGGGGGGGAUCAACCCGCGGACUGCUCUGGAAACUGCCAGGCUGGAGUGCAGGAGAGGGAAGUGGAAGUCCUAGUGUAGCGGUGAAAUGCGUAGAUAUUAGGAGGAACACCAGUGGCGAAGGCGGCUGACUGGACUGUAACUGACGUUGAGGCUCGAAAGCGUGGGGAGCAAACAGGAUUAGAUACCCUGGUAGUC